UAAAGUUUUGCCCUCAUGAAUUUGGACAUGACCCCAGAUACUGUUUGUGUACUUUACUGGGAUUCCUUGGUACAGCUUUAUAAUUCUGGAAUGACUCUUACUGCUUCUGUCUUUGGAGCAUGGCUGUGCAUAUGAAGCUACUGAGAAGAGUGGCCAAAGCAAUUUGGAAGGAAUGACUCUUCACAAGAUUUAGUUCCGUCUCAUACUUCCAGGGCUGGUGAAAGGAAAUCUCUCAUUUCUAAAAGAGAAUUUCAGCUGUUCUGAAGCCUGCAGAUGCUGAAUAAGUACCUACAAGCAAAAAAAAAAAAAUCUUGACCUCUAUCUUGUAUCCUUUAUUACCUCAAAAAUUUGGAUAUAAUCAUUUAGGGAAGGUUGGCAAAACAAGGUUUAUUGGCCCUAAAUUUACCUAGCCUAUCUCAUUCUUCUUCAAGAUUGAGGACACCAAGAUAAGAGUAACUAAAAUAAUUCUCAGGGGCAUCAGCUUGAACAACAUCCAGUUUCAGAUCCUCUCCCUGCAGCAACACCCAGAGGUUUCCAGCAUUGUCCUAAACCUCGCAGACCACUCCGUGAUGAGAUCAACUUCUGAAGCAAGAACAGUCAUCUUAUGGGAACCAAAUUGCCCCUCAAACCAUGAUGAUUCCUCUUGAACUAGAAAGCAGGACCUCAGCCCACCACAUCACCCUGUAAAAUUGGUCUCCAUUCUUUUAUGAAGGGGCCAGUCUGAUUCACCUCUUUAGAUCUCUUCCAUCUGCUCUUAUUUUCCUUUGUUAGGGGACUGGCUUAAGCUGUGUCAGAGCUGUGUUCCCCUUUAUUUUCUCUUACUUUCCAAGUAACGCUUUUGCUGUACAUUAAUACUGUUGCUUUAGUUCCAAUUUCUGUAAUCAUGAAAGCAAGGACCCAUACUAGCUGGUGACAAAGUGUUUGCAACUAAAUCCUUUCUCUUUUGUGCUCCAUUUCAUUGUACUGCAUGACAACCAUUAAGUAUUUAGAGAAAAACUGAUGGCGGAAAAAAGCCUUUAAUUGGAUUUGGAUGGAAAUGCCCUGAUUAGAAGCCUAAAUUGUGUAAGACUAAACACUGUACAAUUCAUAUAAAUCUGGAAAUAAAGAAUUUCUGGUAUUUGUGUAGGUUAGUUCCUGAGCCCAUGUGAUAUGAAAGCUCCCCUGAGGAGCUUCUACCUGCUCUUCUGUUUCUGCCACUCUUAAACCCUCACUUCCAGGUGUCAACUUGUUAUGUCACCUUGAAGUUUCUGUGAUCAUAUUAUAAGGACUAUUGUAUUAACAUUGGACCCAGCUGGAUAAUCUAGGCUACUCUCUCACAUUUGAAGAUCCUUAACUCAAUCAUACAUGCGAAGUUUUUGCCGCUCACAGGUUAUGGGGAUCAGGGCAUAGACCCUCCCCCACAACUUAAUUGGAUUGAAAUUAUUCUCUAUGUGAUUCCAAAUAACUGACCUCCAACCUGAAUGUGUAUAAUUCAUGUGAACUUCUAAACAUUCCUUUCCCACCCUUUCAGCUUCAAAAGGUGAUAUAUUGUGCUUUCAUCAUCAAUCAUCAUCAUCAUCAUCAUCAUCCUGAGAAAGUCUAAAACAUAAUUACAGAACUUUAAGGAUAUGACCAAGUGCUGAUCUCAUCUUAAUAUUGUUGCUGGCUAUAUGAUGAACACCUUUGAUCUGCAAAAUCAGAUCUAUAAAUCAGUUUUAAGUAGAAUGACCCCUCCUACGUACCAACAACAACAAAAAAGAUUAUCAGAAAUUUCUGGAAAUACAGCUUUUGUAAAAUAACACUUCUGACAACCAAUCUAACAACUUCAGUGAUGAUAUUGCUUAGGGAAGUUCAGGAGUCUAAUUCUACAGCAAAUUUCAGGUGGAAUGUCCUUCUUAAGGUAGCCACCCACCAUCGCAGAUAAAAAAAUUCAUUCUCUAAGAGAGAAGAGAGACUUGUCCAAGGUCAUUCAGCAAAUGAGUGAGGACUCAGAUCCACCCAACAUUCUUCCCUAAAUCAAAGCUAUGAAAGAUCAUUAGGGAAGAUCUUGCCUAAUCUUCCAAUUCUACUGCACGGAAACAGGAAGUAUGAUUCCAAAGAAUGGGCCUAUGAGUGCACUUCCAAACCACAGCUAAUUUUCCCUAAGAGUCUUCCGGAUGGUGGGUUUUUUGAGUACUUUCCAGAAAAAAAAAGUCAAUUAAUAUCUUACUGUUACUUGUACAUAGAAUUGUAUAUAACUGUUCAAUAAAUUGCAAAACAGAGCCUCUGGCUUCAC
ensembl:lncRNA